UUGAAUUUUAAUGAAGAGUUUGGUUGUAGCUGGCCCAUUCAUUUGGGCAUGUGCACACCUUCCUCUUUCAUCCCACACACACCUGUGGAACCUGUGAGACAGAGAUGGGGAAUUUACUUGCUGCUUUUUGGAAUACAAAGGCAAUAGGUUAUUGGACCCCCCCUCUGUCUACUCAAUUAAUAUAAACUCAAUUUAUUUUAAAACGAAUGUAAUGGAUGUAACACAUCUCAUAC
rnacentral:misc_RNA from 1 species